GGACCCGCACAAGUAGUGGAGCAUGUGGUUUAAUUCGAAGAUACGCGCAGAACCUUACCAACACUUGACAUGUUCGUCGCGACUUUAAGAGAUUAAAGUUUUCGGUUCGGCCGGACGAAACACAGGUGCUGCAUGGCUGUCGUCAGCUCGUGUCGUGAGAUGUUGGUUAAGUCCCGCAACGAGCGCAACCCUCACUUUUAGUUGCCAUCAUUUAGUUGGGCACUCUGAAAGAACUGCCAGUGAUAAGCUGGAGGAAGGUGGGGAUGACGUCAAGUCCUCAUGGCCCUUACGUGUUGGGCUACACACGUGCUACAAUGGUAUCUAACAAACAGGAAGCAAAAACUGCGAGGUUAAG
rnacentral:rRNA from 1 species